rnacentral:snRNA from 1 species
UACCACCGAGCGGCGGGUAG